AUUGAACGCUGGCGGCAGGCUUAACACAUGCAAGUCGAGCGGAGAUGAGGUGCUUGCACCUUAUCUUAGCGGCGGACGGGUGAGUAAUGCUUAGGAAUCUGCCUAUUAGUGGGGGACAACAUUCCGAAAGGGAUGCUAAUACCGCAUACGUCCUAUGGGAGAAAGCAGGGGAUCUUCGGACCUUGCGCUAAUAGAUGAGCCUAAGUCGGAUUAGCUAGUUGGUGGGGUAAAGGCCUACCAAGGCGACGAUCUGUAGCGGGUCUGAGAGGAUGAUCCGCCACACUGGGACUGCGACACGGCCCAGACUGCUACGGGAGGCAGCAGUGUGGAAUAUUGGACAAUGGGGGGAACCCUGAUCCGGCCAUGCCGCGUGUGUGAAGAAGGCCUUAUGGUUGUAAAGCACUUUAAGCGAGGAGGAGGCUACUGAGACUAAUACUCUUGGAUAGUGGACGUUACUCGCAGAAUAAGCACCGGCUAACUCUGUGCCAGCCGCCGCAGUAACAC
rnacentral:rRNA from 1 species